AGCAGCCGCGGUAAUUCCAGCUCCAAUAGCGUAUAUUAAAGUUGUUGCAGUUAAAAAACUCGUAGUUGAAUUUCGGGGUCAGUAGGUUGGUCGUGCCACCGGUACGUACUGGUCUCACUGAUUCCUCCUUCCUGAUGAGCUGUAAUGCCAUUAAUUUGGUGUUGCAGGGAAUCUGGACUGUUACUUUGAAAAAAUUAGAGUGUUUAAAGCAGGCUAACGCUUGAAUACAUUAGCAUGGAAUAAUGAAAUAGGACGUUCGAUCCUAUUUUGUUGGUUUCUAGGAUUGACGUAAUGAUUAAUAGGGAUAGUUGGGGGCAUUAGUAUUCAAUUGUCAGAGGUGAAAUUCUUGGAUUUAUUGAGGACUAACUACUGCGAAAGCAUUUGCCAAGGAUGUUUUCAUUAAUCAAGAACGAAAGUUAGGGGAUCGAAGACGAUCAGAUACCGUCGUAGUCUUAACCAUAAACUAUGCCGACUAGGGAUCGGAUGAUGUUAAUUUUUAAUGACUNAUUCGCGCCUUAAC
rnacentral:rRNA from 1 species